CCUACGGGUGGCAGCAGUGGGGAAUAUUGCACAAUGGGGGAAACCCUGAUGCAGCGACGCCGCGUGAGUGAAGAAGUAUCUCGGUACGUAAACCCCUAUCAGCAGGGAAGAAAAUGACGGUAUCUGACUAAUAAGCCCCGGCUAACUACGUGCCAGCAGCCGCGGUAAUACGGAGGGGGCAAGCGUUAUCCGGAUUCACUGGGCGUAAAGAGAGCGUAGACGGGAGUGCAAGUCUGGAGUGAAAUCCCGUGGCUUAACCACGGAACUGCAUUGGAAACUGUGCGGCUGGAGUGUGGGAGAGGUAGGCGGAAUUCCUGGUGUAGGGGUGAAAUGCGUAGAUAUUAAGAGGAACACCCAUUGCGAAGGCGACUUACUGGACUAUAACUGACGUUGAGGCUCGAAAGCGUGGGGAGCAAACAGGAUUAGAUACCCUGGUAGUC
rnacentral:rRNA from 1 species